rnacentral:rRNA from 1 species
UGGGGAAUAUUGCACAAUGGGCGCAAGCCUGAUGCAGCGACGCCGCGUGAGGGAUGAAGGCCUUCGGGUUGUAAACCUCUUUCAGUAGGGAAGAAGCGAAAGUGACGGUACCUGCAGAAGAAGCGCCGGCUAACUACGUGCCAGCAGCCGCGGUAAUACGUAGGGCGCAAGCGUUAUCCGGAAUUAUUGGGCGUAAAGAGCUCGUAGGCGGUUUGUCGCGUCUGCCGUGAAAGUCCGGGGCUUAACUCCGGAUCUGCGGUGGGUACGGGCAGACUUGAGUGAUGUAGGGGAGACUGGAAUUCCUGGUGUAGCGGUGAAAUGCGCAGAUAUCAGGAGGAACACCGAUGGCGAAGGCAGGUCUCUGGGCAUUAACUGACGCUGAGGA